ACCUGGCUGGCUCAGUUGGUAGAGUAUAUGACUCUUGAUCUUGUGGUUGUGGAUUCAAGCCCCACUUUGGGUG
rnacentral:tRNA from 1 species